rnacentral:rRNA from 1 species
AAAGAUACUAAUGCAUAUGGUGGAUGCCUUGGGUAUUCGCGCCGAUGAAGGAGGUGCUAAGCUGCCAUAAGCCUCGAGGAGUUGCUACGAAACGUUAUUACUCGGGGACUUCCGAAUGGGGAAACCCAACCCGCUUAUAAGGCGAGGUUACUAAUUACUGAAAGUUGCGCAAGCGACCAUAGGUAAUUUAGAGGGAACUCGGCGAACUGAAACAACUUAGUAGCCGGAGGAAAAGAAACCAAAUCAGGUAUUCUCCUAGUAGCGGCGAGCGAACGGGGAACAGCCCAAACCCAUAUUAAUAUUGGGGGUAUAGACAAUCCUAAUGUUUGAUCAUAGAAGAGUUAACUAAAUUUUUUUCGUAGAAGAAGCCUUCUGGAAAGAAGCGCCAUAGAGGGUAACAGCCCCGUAUUUGAAACGAAAAAAACUCUUGGGUUGAUCUUGAGUAGCACGGGACACGUGUAACCCUGUGUGAAGAAACGACGUCCACGUCGUAAGGCUAAAUACGCGAAUACACCGAUAGCGCAUAGUACCGUGAGGGAAAGGUGAAAAGAACCCCUGUUAGGGGAGUGAAAUAGAUACUGAAACCGUAUGCAGACAAGCUGGCAAAGCCCGCAAGGGUAAUGCCGUGCCUAUUGAAGAAUGAGCCAACGAGUUAAUAGAUUGGGCAAGCUUAAGCCGUAACAGCGGCGGAGGCGUAGGGAAACCGAGUCUUAAUAGGGCGACCAGUCCAUUUUAUUAGACCCGAAGCCAGGUGAGCUAACCAUGGCCAGGAUGAAACCCUGCGAAAUCAGGGUGAAGGUCCGAACCGUUGUAUGAGGAAAAAUGCUCGGAUGAGCUGUGGUUAGGGGUGAAACGCUAAUCGAACUUGGCAAUAGCUGGUUCUCCCCGAAAUAUAUUUAGGUAUAGCCCUUGAAUACAAGGUCUACGUCGGUUUACCGACUAAGCCUUGUUUAUAACUUUGCGAGGUAGAGAUACUGAAAGGGGAUGGGGCGCGCAAGUGUACCCACCCCUACCAAACUCCGAAUGCGCAAAGUGUUCCAAGGAGUCAGUGCUGCGGGGAAAUCUCGUGGCACGAAAGGGAAACAACCCGGACCAUCAGCUAAGGUCCCUAAAUUAUGCUUAGUGGGCAAGGAAGUGAGAUCGUUAAGACAGCUAGGAGGUUGGCUUAGAAGCAGCCACCCUUUAAAGAUAGCGUAACAGCUCACUAGUUGAACGAUUUCGCGCCGACGAUUUAACGGGGCUCAAGCAUAAUACCGAAGCUAUGGAUUUGCUGUUUUUAACAGCGAGUGGUAGGGGAGCUUUGAUGCAGCAGUGAAGGUGUACCCGUGAGGGGCGCUGGAGCGGCAUCAAGUGAGAAUGUUGGCAUGAGUAACGUAAGGGUGGUGAAAACCCACCCCACCGAAAGUCUAAGGGUUCCUCCGCAAUGUCAGUCAUCGGAGGGUUAGUCGACCCUAAGGGGAGGCCGAAAGGCGUACCUGAUGGAUAGCAGGUUAAUAUUCCUGCACUUUUGUAAGACCGUUACUACCGAAGGGAGGACGGAGCAUGAUGGACCAAGCUCAUUAAGGAUUUGAGUCCCAAAAGCAAGGCAGCUUGUGUAGGUAAAUCCGCACAGGCGUUACGUCGAGCUAAGGGAAAGUCUGCCGCAAGGCGGAUAAUUUGGUGUCACGCAAGCUUCCAAGAAAAUUCUCUAGGGAGGUCUUACAAUAUUCGUACCGUAAACCGACACAGGUAGAUGAGUAGAGGAUACUAAGGUGAACGAGCGAAUCGUGGUUGAGGAACUAGGCAAAUUACAUCCGUAACUUAGGGAAAAGGAUGCCCUGCCACGAACCUACGCAAGUAGGGAGUCGGUAGGGGGCACAAAAAUGGCUCAAGCGACUGUUUAACAAAAACAUAGGUCUCUGCUAAACCAGUAAUGGGAUGUAUAGGGGCCGAUGCCUGCCCAGUGCCCGUAGGUCAAGAUCGGGGGUGAUUUCCAACUUCGGUUGGAAUGAGCUUUUGGUUUAAGCCCGGGUGAACGGCAGCAGUAACUAUAACUGUUCUAUGGUGAAUUUACAGCGUAAUCCCUUGUCGGGUAAGUUCCGACCCGCACGAAAGGCAUAACGACUUGAGCACUCUCUUAAUCACGAGCUCGGUGAAAUUGAANAUUACCUGCAGAGGGGACAAUGCCUGGCGGGCAGUUUAUCUGGGGCGGAUUCCUGCUAAAGGAUAACGCAGGAGCCCAAAGGUUCUCUUAGCACCGAUGGAAAUGGUGCUGUAAGCGUAAAGGUAUAUGAGAGCUUGACUGCGAGACUUACAAGUCGAGCAGAUACGAAAGUAGGGCUUAGUGAUCUUCCGUGUGCCUAGUGGUAGGCCCGGAACUUAUCGGAUAAAAGUUACCCCGGGGAUAACAGGCUGAUCUUGCCCGAGCGUCCAUAGCGGCGGCAAGGUUUGGCACCUCGAUGUCGUCUCGUCACAUCCUGGAGCUGGAGCAGGUUCCAAGGGUCCGGCUGUUCGCCGGUUAAAGUGGCGCGUUAGAUGGGUUAAGAACGUCGUGAGACAGUUCGGUCUCUUUCCACAACGAGCGUUUGGCUUUGAGAGGACUCAUUCCUAGUACGAGAGGACCGGAAUGACAGAACCUCUAGUGUACCAGUUGUUCUACCAAGGGCAUUGCUGGGUAGCUACGUCCUGGGAGAUUACCAGGUUGAUAGGCCGUAGGUGUAAGCACAGCAAUGUGUUCAGCCAAGCGGUACUAAUAUUUUGUGAGUCUUUA